rnacentral:rRNA from 1 species
ACAGCAGUCGCCGCGGGAAUACGUAGGUGGCAAGCGUUGUCCGGAAUUAUUGGGCGUAAAGGGCUCGCAGGCGGUCUCUUAAGUCUGAUGUGAAAGCCCCCGGCUCAACCGGGGAGGGUCAUUGGAAACUGGGAAACUUGAGUGCAGAAGAGGAGAGUGGAAUUCCACGUGUAGCGGUGAAAUGCGUAGAGAUGUGGAGGAACACCAGUGGCGAAGGCGACUCUCUGGUCUGUAACUGACGCUGAGGAGCGAAAGCGUGGGGAGCGAACAGGAUUAGAUACCCCUGUAGUCCCUGUCUCUUAUAC